UCUUCAUGAUACCGGUGUUCGAACGUUGUGCAUUAGUGAUCAUGACAAAGUUGACCUUGAUAAGGUUCAUUCUUGGCUUGAGGAGAUACUUUGGGAGAAAAAAGGUGGCAUGGAUGUCUAUCGUUGCAAAGGAGUUUUAAGCAUAAAAAAUUCUGAUCAACUACAUACUUUGCAGGCAGUGAGGGAAUUAUACGAGGUGGUUCCUAGUCGCCAAUGGAAUAAUGGAGAAAGUCAGACGAACAAGAUAGUCUUCAUAGGUCGUAAUCUGAACGAGGAUGUUCUCAGCGAAACCUUUAGAGCAUGCAGGUCGUAAUUUUGUAG
rnacentral:misc_RNA from 1 species